rnacentral:rRNA from 1 species
GACGAACGCUGGCGGCGUGCUUAACACAUGCAAGUCGAACGGUAAGGCCCUUCGGGGUACACGAGUGGCGAACGGGUGAGUAACACGUGGGUGAUCUGCCCUGCACUUCGGGAUAAGCCUGGGAGACUGGGUCUAAUACCGGAUAGGACCACUGCCUGCAUGGGUGGUGGUGGAAAGCUUUUGCGGUGUGGGAUGGGCCCGCGGCCUAUCAGCUUGUUGGUGGGGUGAUGGCCUACCAAGGCGACGACGGGUAGCCGGCCUGAGAGGGUGACCGGCCACACUGGGACUGAGAUACGGCCAAGACUCCUACGGGAGGCAGCAGUGGGGAAUAUUGCACAAUGGGCGCAAGCCUGAUGCAGCGACGCCGCGUGAGGGAUGACGGCCUUCGGGUUGUAAACCUCUUUCAGCACCGACGAAGCGCAAGUGACGGUAGGUGCAGAAGAAGGACCGGCCAACUACGUGCCAGCAGCCGCCGUAA